rnacentral:rRNA from 1 species
GCAGCGUCAGAUGUGUAUAAGAGACAGGGUUGAAGGUUGGGUAACACCAACUGGAGGACCGCACCCACGCCUGUUGAAAAAGUCGGGGAUGACUUGUAGCUAGGGGUGAAAGGCCAAUCAAACUCGGAAAUAGCUGGUUCUCCGCGAAAACUAUUUAGGUAGUGCGGCAAGCGAAUACCUUGAGGGGUAGAGCACUGGAAGAAUGAGGGGGGAGCGAUCCUUACUAAAUUUUACCAAACUCCGAAUACUCAAGAGUAAUACUUGCCAGACAGACAGUAGGUGCUAAGGUCUAUUGUCGAGAGGGAAAGAGCCCAGACCGUCAAUUAAGGUCCCUAAAUUAUGGCUAAGUGGUAAAGGAAGUGAAUUGUCCAAAACAGUCAGGAGGUUGGCUUAGAAGCAGCCAUCCUUUAAAGAAAGCGUAAUAGCUCACUGAUCUAAUUAAGACGAUUUGCGCCGAAGAUGUAACGGGGCUAAAGCCAUAUACCGAAAUUACGGGUUUGUACUAAGUACAAGCGGUAGCGGAGCGUUCUGUAAGCCUGCGAAGGUGUUCCGUAAGGAAUGCUGGAGGUAUCAGAAGUGAGAAUGCUGACAUGAGUAGCGAAAAGAAGUGUGAGAGACACUUCCGCUGAAAGUCCAAGGUUUCCUGCGUAAAGCUAAUCUGCGCAGGGUUAGUCGGCCCCUAAGGUGAGGCUGAGAAGCGUAGCUGAUGGGAAGCAGGUUAAUAUUCCUGCACCAGCUAGGAGGUGACGGAUUUCAAAGAUUGUAACUGAUUAUUGGAUUUCGGUUGCAGUUCAGAAGUUCCAGGAAAGAGCCCUAGCAUAGACCGUACCCCAAACCGACACAGGUGGACAGGUAGAGAAUACCAAAGCGCUUGAGAGAACUAUGUUGAAGGAACUAGGCAAAAUGCUUGUGUAACUUCGGGAUAAGCAAGCCCCAUUUUUAGGCAACUAAAGGUGGGGGGCACAUACUAGGGGGUAGCGACUGUUUACUAAAAACACAGGGCUCUGCUAAAUUGAAAGAUGAAGUAUAGGGUCUGACGCCUGCCCGGUGCUGGAAGGUUAAGGAGAGAUGUUCACGCAUUGAACUGAAGCCCCAGUAAACGGCGGCCGUAACUAUAACGGUCCUAAGGUAGCGAAAUUCCUUGUCGGGUAAGUUCCGACCUGCACGAAUGGCGUAACGACUUCCCCGCUGUCUCCAACAUAGGCUCAGCGAAAUUGAACUCUGAGUUAAGAUGCUCAGUACCCGCGGUUAGACGGAAAGACCCCGUGAACCUUUACUAUAGCUUUGCAGUGGUAUUAGGUAAUAGAUGUGUAGAAUAGGUGGGAUGCUAUGAAGCAGGGACGCUAGUUCUUGUGGAGCAGACUUUGAAAUACCACCCUUUUGUUAUUUGAUAUCUAACCUGCUCCCGUAGAUCCGGGAGAGGGACCCUGCAUGGUGGGUAGUUUGACUGGGGCGGUCGCCUCCCAAAGAGUAACGGAGGCGUGCGAAGGUUAGCUCAGACUGGUCGGAAAUCAGUCGUCGAGUGCAAUGGCAUAAGCUAGCCUGACUGCGAGAGAGACAUUUCGAGCAGAUACGAAAGUAGGUCAUAGUGAUCCGGUGGUCCCGAGUGGAAGGGCCAUCGCUCAACGGAUAAAAGGUACUCCGGGGAUAACAGGCUGAUUCCGCCCAAGAGUUCACAUCGACGGCGGAGUUUGGCACCUCGAUGUCGGCUCAUCACAUCCUGGGGCUGGAGAAGGUCCCAAGGGUUCGGCUGUUCGCCGAUUAAAGUGGUACGCGAGCUGGGUUUAGAACGUCGUGAGACAGUUCGGUCCCUAUCUGCCGUGGGUGUAGGAUACUUGAGAGGAUUUGUCCUUAGUACGAGAGGACCGGGAUGAACAUACCUCUGGUGUACCAGUUGUAACGCCAGUUGCAGCGCUGGGUAGCUAAGUAUGGAAGGGAUAACCGCUGAAUGCAUCUAAGCGGGAAACCCACCUCAAAACUAGGUAUCCCCAUUAAGAUCGUGGUAGACCACCACGUUGAUAGGUCAGGUGUGUAAGCACAGCAAUGUGUUUAGCUAACUGAUACUAAUAAUCUGAUUGGCUUGAUAAC